UACGGGGGGGGCAAGCGUUGUUCGGAAUUACUGGGCGUAAAGGGCGCGUAGGCGGUUCGCUAAGUUGGAUGUGAAAUUUCGGAGCUUAACUCCGAAACUGCAUUUGAUACUGGCGUGCUUGAGGACUGGAGAGGAGACUGGAAUUCACGGUGUAGCAGUGAAAUGCGUAGAUAUCAAGAGGAACACCAAUAGCGAAGGCAGCUCGCUGGGACGGUACUGACGCUAAGGCGCGAAAGCGUGGGGAGCGAACAGG
rnacentral:rRNA from 1 species